rnacentral:rRNA from 1 species
GGAGGUGGCAAGCGUUGUUCGGAAUUACUGGGCGUAAAGGGCGCGUAGGCGGCUUGGCAAGUCAGGUGUGAAAGCCCCGGGCUUAACUCGGGAACUGCAUCUGAAACUGCCUUGCUUGAGUCCUGGAGGGGGUAGUGGAAUUCCCAGUGUAGCGGUGAAAUGCGUAGAUAUUGGGAGGAACACCGGUGGCGAAGGCGGCUACCUGGACAGUGACUGACGCUGAGGCGCGAAAGCUAGGGGAGCGAACGGGAUUAGAUACCCCGGUAGUCCUAGCUGUAAACUAUGGGCACUUGGUGUCGGGGGUAUUGAGUCCCCCGGUGCCGGAGUUAACACGUUAAGUGCCCCGCCUGGGGAGUACGGUCGCAAGACUGAA